GUGAAUCAUCAAAUCUUUGAACGCAAAUUGCACUUUCUGGUAUUCCGGAAAGUAUGCCUGUUUGAGGGUCAGUUAAAUAAAAAUCGGUGUUGUUGCUGCUUUUCGUGGUGACGCGUCGGAAUUGUGUUGUCUUACCUUCGGUUAAGUGAUUUAAAAUUUGGCAUGAUUUUCGAACGUAUUUAAAUUUCUUACGUACGUUUGAUUUAUCUAAUUCUUUAUUAAGUCCGAUCAUCUUCAUGAAUGGCACC
rnacentral:misc_RNA from 1 species